CGUAGCUCAGCAGGAUAGAGCACCGGUUUCCUAAACCGGGGGCCGCAGGUUCGAAUCCUGCCGG
rnacentral:tRNA from 1 species